GUCUAGUUUUGUCGAAAUUAAAUUACUGUGAUACUGUUUAUGGUCCCUGUUUACUCUCGAGAACUGAAAAAUUAAUACAACGCAUUCAAAAUGCCUGUGCCAGGUAUUGCUUUGACAUUCCUGUGAGAGGACACAUAACGGAAACAUGAACCUAGGUACUUGUAUGAGAAGUUAGAUUGGAGAAGUACUCAGUACAGGUAUGGCUCACGAGCUACUGUUAAGCCAUUGUUGACGCCCAAAUACAGAACAGCUGCUUUUCGGGGAGCGUUUAAAUACGCAGCUACGCAUUGCUGGAAUGAUCUCCCACCACCUAUUCGUCACAUUGUAACAAAGCAUGGCUUUAUUAAUCGUUUAAAAUCUUCGAUCAAUAAUACUACUAGAUUCGCGAUUAGCGCUUCAAAAGCGGCCCGAAAAAUAAGACCACAAAUAAAUUUGUGGUCUUAUUUCAAAUUAGUAUGGUCCAAUCAUAGCCAACACUAAGACGUCAAAACGCUGCACUGCGCGUUCAAAAACGGAGUAAAAAACCACCGUAACACCAAGGUUUUGGAAGGAAUAUCUUUUUUUGAUUUCCUAGUAGCCCCUUGUCGCUGUGCACAAUGGAUAUAUAUUGUCGCGAAAGAAAGAGGAGAAGAAAUAUAGAACUCUUAUAAAAAUUCUAGAAUUGUUCAAUGGUGGUGGCAAAUCAAUGCAAAAAAGUAUUAAAAAAACUUUAUAAUAUGUAUGUGUAAAUAUUUUAAGCGUAUAUGCUGAAAAGGAUUUGUUUUCUGGGGGAAACGAACACAGCCAUAAAAUAAGCCUAAAUUAAACUGAUUAUAGAAAAAUUCAUUGAUAUAAGAUUACAUUAUAUUUGUAAAAAAGAAACCGCUCAUAUAAAAAUGACUUCUAAAAGACAGCUUUAUAACAAACUGAAUCUGUUUAAAGUUAAUUAAACCUACAUUAUUGUUUUAAUAACUUCUGUAUAAAGAAUACGUGGAAAACAUGUUUCGUGUUUCCUUUCAUAUUUUUUUUACUUUAUUCAAUUUUAUUUUUUAUCACCUAUUUGUUGUAAUAGCGGCAAUGUAAAAUAUUAUCUACUACUUUUUUGAAUCGGUCAAAAAUAGUUGCGACCAUACAAAACAAACCUAAAACAAAUAUGUAUAUUCUGCAACUCUAUGUCUUUCAAUACUUACUGUGUUCUGAGCAUUGAAAUGUAAUACCAAGAACUACAUCUAGUUCCACAAUACAAUAAGCACGAAAUUUUAAACAAAUAUUUUUAACCUUAUAAAUUAGGCUUUAAGUAUCAUUUUAGAAUAAAUAUUUUUGUACUGAUGACUUUUUAUGUUCAAGUGACAUUUUAAAUUUAUUCCAUAAUAUUCUUUUUCUGACGAAAGGACCUAAAUACAUAUAUUUUGCAAUGGUAAUUAAACUUUAUGUUUAAGUCUUAAGGUUUAUAAUAAACUGAAGUCGUUAACAUUAUUAAA